rnacentral:rRNA from 1 species
AAGGUGAUAUGAACCGUUAUAACCGGCGAUACCCGAAUGGGGAAACCCAGUGUGACUCAUCACACUAUCAUUAACUGAAUCCAUAGGUUAAUGAGGCGAACCGGGGGAACUGAAACAUCUAAGUACCCCGAGGAAAAGAAAUCAACCGAGAUUCCCCCAGUAGCGGCGAGCGAACGGGGAGGAGCCCAGAGCCUGAAUCAGCAUGUGUGUUAGUGGAAGCGUCUGGAAAGGCGCGCGAUACAGGGUGACAGCCCCGUACACAAAAGCGCAUAUGCUGUGAGCUCGAUGAGUAGGGCGGGACACGUGGUAUCCUGUCUGAAUAUGGGGGGACCAUCCUCCAAGGCUAAAUACUCCUGACUGACCGAUAGUGAACCAGUACCGUGAGGGAAAGGCGAAAAGAACCCCGGCGAGGGGAGUGAAAAAGAACCUGAAACCGUGUACGUACAAGCAGUGGGAGCACAGGUUUACCUGUGUGACUGCGUACCUUUUGUAUAAUGGGUCAGCGACUUAUAUUCUGUAGCAAGGUUAACCGAAUAGGGGAGCCGGAGGGAAACCGAGUCUUAAUUGGGCGUUAAGUUGCAGGGUAUAGACCCGAAACCCGGUGAUCUAGCCAUGGGCAGGUUGAAGGUUGGGUAACACUAACUGGAGGACCGAACCGACUAAUGUUGAAAAAUUAGCGGAUGACCUGUGGCUGGGGGUGAAAGGCCAAUCAAACCGGGAGAUAGCUGGUUCUCCCCGAAAGCUAUUUAGGUAGCGCCUCGUGAAUUCAUCUCCGGGGGUAGAGCACUGUUUCGGCUAGGGGGCCAUCCCGGCUUACCAACCCGAUGCAAACUGCGAAUACCGGAGAAUGUUAUCACGGGAGACACACGGCGGGUGCUAACGUCCGUCGUGAAGAGGGAAACAACCCAGACCGCCAGCUAAGGUCCCAAAGUCAUGGUUAAGUGGGAAACGAUGUGGGAAGGCCCAGACAGCCAGGAUGUUGGCUUAGAAGCAGCCAUCAUUUAAAGAAAGCGUAAUAGCUCACUGGUCGAGUCGGCCUGCGCGGAAGAUGUAACGGGGCUAAACCAUGCACCGAAGCUGCGGCAGCGACACU